rnacentral:rRNA from 1 species
UACGGGGGGGGCAAGCGUUGUUCGGAAUUACUGGGCGUAAAGGGCGCGUAGGCGGCCUGCUAAGUCGGAUGUGAAAUCCCUCGGCUCAACCGAGGAACUGCAUCCGAUACUGGCGGGCUUGAAUCCGGGAGAGGGAUGUGGAAUUCCAGGUGUAGCGGUGAAAUGCGUAGAUAUCUGGAGGACACCGGUGGCGAAGGCGGCAUCCUGGACCGGUAGUUGACGCGUGAGGCG